GUUUUUGUUUUAAAUAUUAUUGAGUAUACAAAGAGGUGUUUAUUAUUCUUAAAUGUUUGUUGAAGAUAAUGAAAUAAAGAAUAUAAUUGAUGUUGUGAUGAUUAUCAGAGGCAGAUCCAAAGAAUAUCUUCCAGAUGUAGAGGAAUUAUGUCUCGUUACACAUAUUUUGUGCCAACCUGGCCCUUGUCUUUUGGGUAUGGGAAGGUAGGUAGGCAAAUGAGAAAAAAAGACUGCAGAUUAUUUUAAAGUCAGAUGCUUUUGGACCAACAAACAUUAUUUUUAUAAUGGUCUGAGUGGUAAGGGUAAAGGUGAAAUUUUCUAGGUUCAAUGUAUGAAGAUAAAUAAUUAUGAAGUUAUAUUGGUGUGCCCUAGUAUUACCCUGGAUCUGCCUCUGUUUUUGCAUGCUGCUAUAUAUAUGAUAUAUUUUGUUACUUUAGAUAAUUUUAUCAUUUUAGUCUUAAUCACUUUUAAUGAUAUUGUAUCAUAAUCUC
rnacentral:lncRNA from 1 species